rnacentral:rRNA from 1 species
CCUACGGGAGGCAGCAGUGGGGAAUAUUGGGCAAUGGGCGCAAGCCUGACCCAGCAACGCCGCGUGAAGGAAGAAGGCUUUCGGGUUGUAAACUUCUUUUCUCAGGGACGAAGCAAGUGACGGUACCUGAGUAAUAAGCCACGGCUAACUACGUGCCAGCAGCCGCGGUAAUACGUAGGGGGCAAGCGGUAUCCGGAUUUACUGGGUGUAAAGGGCGUGUAGGCGGGACUGCAAGUCAGAUGUGAAAACCACGGGCUCAACCUGUGGCCUGCAUUUGAAACUGUAGUUCUUGAGUACUGGAGAGGCAGGUGGAAUUCCUGGUGUAGCGGUGAAAUGCGUAGAUAUUAGGAGGAACACCAGUGGCGAAGGCGGUCUGCUGGACAGAAACUGACGCUGAGGCGCGAAAGCGUGGGGAGCAAACAGGAUUAGAUACCCUAGUAGUC